GAGAGUAUAGCUCAGUGGUAGAGCACAUGCCUGGCAUGUGCAAGAUCCUAGGUUCAAUCCCCAGUACCGCCA
rnacentral:tRNA from 1 species